GACAGAGGGUGCAAACGUUGUUCGGAAUUACUGGGCGUAAAGCGUGUGUAGGCGGCCGCGCAAGUCGGAUGUGAAAGCCCCGGGCUCAACCUGGGAAUGGCAUUUGGGACUGCAAGGCUUGAGUGCGGCAGAGGAGACUGGAAUUCCUGGUGUAGCAGUGAAAUGCGUAGAUAUUGCUCGGAAGGCCGGAGCCGAAGGGGCCCCACUGGUACGCAACUGACGCUGAGGCACGAAAGCGUGGGGAGCAAACAGG
rnacentral:rRNA from 1 species